UCAAGAACCUUCCGCAAUGGACGAAAGUCUGACGGAGCGACGCCGCGUGAUCGAUGAAGCGAUUCGUCGUGUAAAGAUCUUUUAUGAGGGAAGAAGUUUAUUGACGGUACCUCAUGAAUAAGGGGCUCCUAACUCUGUGCCAGCAGGAGCGGUAAUACAGAGGCCCCGAGCGUUAUCCGGAAUUAUUGGGCGUAAAGGGUGUGUAGGUGGCAUUAUUAGUCGUUUGUGAAAGCCCCGGGCUUAACCUGGGAGACGCGAACGAAACGGUAAUGCUUUGAGUGUGUGAGAGGUAAGCAGAACUCAUGGUGUAGGGGUGAAAUCCGUUGAUAUCAUGGGGAAUACCAAAAGCGAAAGCAGCUUACUGGCGCAUUACUGACGCUGAAACACGAAAGCGUGGGUA
rnacentral:rRNA from 1 species